rnacentral:rRNA from 1 species
GAGUUUGAUCGUGGCUCAGGACGAACGCUGGCGGCGUGCCUAACACAUGCAAGUCGAACGGGAACAGCCUGAAGCUUGCUUCGGACUGUUUUAGUGGCGGACGGGUGAGUAACGCGUGAGGAACCUGCCUUUCAGAGGGGGAUAACGUCUGGAAACGGACGCUAAUACCGCAUGACAUCAGAGGGUCACAUGGCUUUCUGAUCAAAGGAGCAAUCCGCUGAAAGAUGGACUCGCGUCCGAUUAGCCAGUUGGCGGGGCAAAGGCCCACCAAAGCGACGAUCGGUAGCCGGGCUGAGAGGCUGAACGGCCACAUUGGGGCUGAGGCACGGCCCAGACUCCUACGGGAGGCAGCAGUGGGGGAUAUUGCACAAUGGAGGAAACGUCUGAUGCAGCAACGCCGCGUGAGGGAAGACGGUCUUCGGAUUGUAAACCUUUGUACCUCGGUGACGAUAAUGACGGUAGCCGAGGAGGAGCGUCGGCUAACUACGUGCCAGCAGCCGCA